rnacentral:rRNA from 1 species
AUUGAACGCUGGCGGCAGGCCUAACACAUGCAAGUCGAGCGGAUGAGUGGAGCUUGCUCCUUGAUUCAGCGGCGGACGGGUGAGUAAUGCCUAGGAAUCUGCCUGGUAGUGGGGGACAACGUGUCGAAAGGAACGCUAAUACCGCAUACGUCCUACGGGAGAAAGCAGGGGACCUUCGGGCCUUGCGCUAUCAGAUGAGCCUAGGUCGGAUUAGCUAGUUGGUGAGGUAAUGGCUCACCAAGGCGACGAUCCGUAACUGGUCUGAGAGGAUGAUAAGUCAAACUGGAACUGAGACACGGUCCAGACUCCUACGGGAGGCAGCAGUGGGGAAUAUUGGACAAUGGGCGAAAGCCUGAUCCAGCCAUGCCGCGUGUGUGAAGAAGGUCUUCGGAUUGUAAAGCACUUUAAGUUGGGAGGAAGGGCAGUAAGCUAAUACCUUGCUGUUUUGACGUUACCGACAGAAUAAGCACCGGCUAACUCUGUGCCAGCCGCCGCGGUAAUAC